ensembl:lncRNA
GCGGUGUGGUGAGGAGCUGAGGGGAGGUGUGGUGAGGAGCUGAGGGGAGGUGUGGUGAGGAGCUGAGUGGUGGUGUGGUGAGGAGCUGAGGGGAGGUGUGGUGAGGAGCUGAGGGGAGGUGUGGUGAGGAGCUGAGGGGAGGAGCUGAGGGGAGGUGUGGUGAGGAGCUGAGGGGAGGUGUGGUGAGGAGCUGAGGGGAGGAGCUGAGGGGAGGUGUGGUGAGGAGCUGAGGGGAGGUGUGGUGAGGAGCUGAGGGGCGGUGUGGUGAGGAGCUGAGGGGAGGUGUGGUGAGGAGCUGAGGGGAGGUGUGGUGAGGAGCUGAGGGGAGGUGUAGUGAGGAACUGAGGGGAGGAGCUGAGGGGAGGAGCUGAGGGGAGCUGUGGUGAGGAGCUGGGG